GUUCAGAAGGUAUUCGACGUAACAAAACCCCUUAAUCCAAUGUUUCAUUUGAUCGCUCUUCGGGUUCCGUUU
rnacentral:tRNA from 1 species